ACAAUCAUAAUAAUAUCAAUUCCUUCAACAUUGAUCACUUCAAAAUUAAUUUCUUUAACAAUACUAUUUUCUAGAAAUUGACAAGUAAAAGCCUUACUAAUUCUAUAAUUAUAUACACAUCAUCAAACUUGUAUUUAAAUAUAUAUUUUAGCAGAAGUCACAGUUAAAAAUUCAUAUAAAUUCUUGUCUGUUAUUAAAUUUCUCCAAUCCAACUUUUGUGAAUUUAGCUCUAGUUAGUUUGUAAGUGAAUAAAUUAAACAAAUACAUUGUCUAUUGUCUAUUGUAAGUAGUGUGUUUGCUUGCGUACGAGCCCACCCCAAAAACUAGAGUACAUUUUUAUGAAAAACAAAAACAGUAAAGAUAUUAUCAAAGCUUUUAUUUGAAACAACACAUAUAAUGAUUAUUGAUUUACAAAAUAUUCAUUUGCGGCCUAUUCAUAAAAGAGGCUCUGAAGAUGAUCCAUCAAACUUAAGACCAAUUUCAAUAGUGCCUAUAUUAUGUAUCUAAAUUAUUUGAGAUGAUAAUGCAGGAGCAACUCUCUGAGUAUUUUAAAAAU